AUGAGAGCAGAAAAUGCAUGGCCCCAGGGAAGCUAGCCGCUAUGAGGCCUAAGAUGGCAGCAGGCCAAGUAAAGUGGAGUGGGGAGCUAGGGAGAAGGCAGGCAGUUAGGAGAGCUGAGACCCAGGAAGAGUUUUCCAGAGGAGUACAAGGGAAAAGGAAGCCAAAAGUGUCAGAAAGAAGGAACAUCUGAGAGAAGAGAUCCAUGCAUGAUCCAAAUCUCUUUGCUGGCAAUGAAGAUUACAUUGGAGUGGAGAUGAAGGGAGAGAAGAUAACACGGUAGAAAAGAAUGGCCCUCUGCACGUCCAGCAAGUGCAAAGAAGCUUCCAGCGGUGUGGAUGGAUUCUUGUAAAACGUGAAUCAGCAGGAAGAGGCACCACAUCUGGGCUGGGGUCAUUAGGAAGCUCAUCUUCUGAAUCAUCAUUGGGGCUAUCCUUUGAGGAGUCGGAAGAGAAAUCCUCUUCAUCCUCAGCAGAGGAGGAUGGCACGGUAUCAGGAUUUUGGCUAUCAGAGGAAGAUGAGGAGGAAGGAGAGGGGAACACUCUUCUCUUUCUUUUGUGCUUUCCCCUUUUUGUCUGCUGGAGGGACUUGGUGAGCAUAUCAUUAAAACAAGCUUGCCAAGCUGGUGAUACAGAGGAUUGGAAAUCUGAAGGCACAGAAGGGGCGUGGCCUUCAGUUAAAUCUACUGUGAUCACAGGAGGGUCCCAGAUCGCACCAGCCCUGGAUUGUUCUCCAAUGCAAUUGGAUGUGAAUUGCCCGCCGAAUGAUCCCUCUGAUCUCCAGAGGCCCCACCUGCCUUGUGUGUUGUUGUAGAUUCCCAUGCUCUCAUGCUCCUCUCAAUGAGAUCGGCCCUGUGGGCCCAGAUGAUGCUGCACCUGCCCUCUGUGUCACGACUGUUCUGGUUUCCCAUGUAUGAAGGCUGGGAUUGGACUGGGUGUUUCAGGCCUCCAUGGUUUUGACCUGGCUGGUACAUUGGACCAGGCCUUUUGGGCCUCUGUGCUUUUGGCCCACCUGGGACAGUUGAAGGCAUCACCAGAGGAUGGCCCUGGGAUGGCUGCACAAUGUGGCACUGUAGAGGAAGUGUUUUCUGAUGCUGUGGCUGCAGCUGACGGGGCUCUGAGCAGAAUCACGAGGGUAUCAUCCCCUGAAGUGUCCUGGAGCUCUCAGCUGCCUCGAUGGGUCUCAUGGCCUAUUGGUGGGAGACUCAGAGUAUCCUCUUCAUGGUACUCUGCGGUUGUGCAGCCUGGCAAUGGCAGAGGGUAUGCACCGUUGAAACUGAGCGCUGGCCUUCCCGUUAGGGAUAAGAAUGUUACGGACCUUGGGCCCUGGUUGCUGAAUGGUUGAGCGAUCGACUCCAGAGGGAUAAAGUAAAGGUUGAGAAGUCGAAGGAAGUAGCAUACUGAAAUAACCCAUCAGAAGAUAUAAAGAGCAAGGCUUUUUAAAAAGAGAGAGAGAAAAGGCUUGUCUCUGGAGCCGGAUGCAGGACUAAAAGGAACUGAGCAGGGUUGUUUUCCGCAGGCUUUUAAAGUGUUGCUAGUUAUUUUGCAUAGUCCUGCCUCCGGAGCACAUAGGCAGGAUAACCCACAUGACAUGUCCUCAUCCAGCAGCAGAGAAGGACCAAUAACUGUAGUGCUAGUGGUAUCUUCUAUUUGUGUAUAAUGCCCACAGUUUAUUAUAAACAUUAUAGGUACAAUCCAGUUAAAUUUAAGCACUUUUGAGUUCCACUCAUUUUAGUGAGAGAGAUUUGAGCAUGUGCUUAACCCCCAUUUAAAUCAAUGAGACUUGAGAGUGUUUAACAUUAGCAGGACCACACCUUUUGUAUAUAACAGAAGGCCAAUACAAUAUUAUUUAAAAAAUAAAAGAAAUCUAGCAACUUAACAAAUAAC